rnacentral:lncRNA from 1 species
CAACUCUCACCGGGAAUGAUCUGCGCCGUCGCCAUUUUUGCCGUGAAGAUCUUCAAAUUGAUCAGCAAGUGAAGGAAGAGAUACAUAAUUGGAUUGCCGCUGCAGGUAAUUUUCUUCUCCAUAGGGUUUGAGAUCGACUUGCGUGAGUGGUUAUGGUUUGGUUCAAAAGGUACCGAUUUCGAUUUCGAUUUCGAUUUCUCAUGCAAUUUGAAAAAAACACAGGCGAUUUUUUGAAUUUUUUUAUAUUGACUUGACUGGGCGAAGAAGAAGAGUGUGAAAGAGACACGUCUACGCCUCUGGCCAUGGGGAUGAUCGAGACUGUUAAUCAAACAAGGUAAACGCUCUCUCCGAUUUUGUUUUUAAUAUUACCACUUGCUGUAUAUGUUUUUUUUUCUUUCUCUAUUUAUAUCAACCACUUUGGAUUCGUUCAACGCCGAGUAUAUCUGACCUAAUCUCGAUUGGAAAUCCUUAUAACAAAAUGUGUUCUAAUUUAUGUGUCAGUUUAUUUUUUGGGAUCAAUUGUAGAAACUAUAGUUUAAGGAGGUAUUCUGUGUUUUUUUGUUAGUGUUGGUGUUGAUGCCUAUUUCGUGUUUGUUGAAAUUCCUAAAAGAAUAUGUAUGGACUCUUAGUGAAUGGCAUCCCUCAGUAGGCAUUUACUUUAACGAGGAGGAGUUCUAGUGGGACUGUGGAAGGGGUGAGUAGAAGUUUCUAAGACCACAAACUUUGAGUUCUACGACAUGAUUUUAGGUCUAUAUUUGGACACACUCCUUAGGAAUACCCUCAUACUAAAAGUUUGACUACAAGUGUCACUGAAGCACCUAACCUAAAAUUUAAACCGGGAUGAAUUUUAGAUGUGUAUAGAUAACCAACACAGAAUCCAAUUCAUAUUUCAUAAUUAUAGUAGAGUACAAAGGUUCGAACAUGAAAGGAAACAGAAGAGAACUUGCUGGUGCAAGUCCAAAGAAGAGGAUUUAAGGAAAAUAAAAUGAAACAUGUAGCAAACAGAUUUAUAAGUUACAAUAACACCUCCUCAAACAAGUUAUCUGGCAUCCUCAAUGAAUCCCAUGUGCGGAUGUUGAGGUUGUUUUUUCGUUUUAAUUCCGAUCAGCAAGCUCAAUCUUUCCCUUCAUCCUCCUAGACGAUUCACCUUGUUGACUUGUAGUUGCAUUCUCUGCUGAGCUCCGAUUAAAUGAGGGACUUCCAUAAACAGGACUUCGUAAGCCAUUUACGCGUGGAGAGCCCAAUAAGAGAUGUUGUGGGCUUUGUUGGUAGCUUUCACGAGGUGAAUUCAUUUCCCUCCCCAUACAACCACUACAAAAGACAUUAUAAUCUCUCUCACUCUGUUGAAGUUCCUUGAGUGUGUGAGAUCGCAAAUCUUUGUUGUCGAACGUAUGCAGUAAUUUCACGAUCUUGCUCCACAUACUGGAUUCAGGACUGGAGCGCUCUAUGACGCUCCAAUUUUCACUUAGGAAUGUAAUCACGUAGAAUAUUAAGGCUGCAACUCCAACUAUUCCUGCUAUUAGAAAGAGUCCCCAGAAGCUUCCUAGCCCAAGAUUUUUGUGUGGACGUAAGGUGUUACAAUCUGGAUUAUCUGUCUUAUCUCCGAACCAUUUCCUCUCAAUCUCCUCCAUCGUUUGGCCAUCGGUGACAUUCAGAAUUGCUCUUGAAACAUCAGGUCCUAGAGGAGAACCUAAUGGGAAAACCUUCAAAGAAGAAAAAAGAGAUUUUAGAAUGAGAAAAAAAUGAACAGUAUUAUACAGAGUAUUUUCAGCAGAAUUCGGCCAGAAACAUACAAAACCGAAACCAUCUGCCUUAUACGGGGGUCCGGCCAUCAUGUACUUUGAACCGUAUUUGCCUAGAAAAAUCUUAAUAUAAGGGAUCUCUUGAAAGGCAGCAGCUAUUCCAUCAUUUCCACUCCCUUUAGAGAGAAGUUCAUCUAAAUGGUCGUCUGAGUAGAAUGGCCGAAGUUGCGAUUCAUUAAAAUAUUUUUUCAGAAAUCCAUGUAGAAAUGAUGUGUUUGAGUAGCCUACAUAGUCCUUGUUUCUCAUAAGAACAGUAAUAUCAGUAACUGCUGGCUCCAGCUUCUGGACUGUUAACAUGGAUGCAAGACUGGCAGUAUAGCUUUGGGUUAGUAUAAGUACCACCAAAAACCAUACUAUGAGCACAAAACGGGCCAAGUUGCUUACCACCCUCUCCUCUGCAAAAAAACCAAUGGCAAAUGGUCGGGAAAUAUUGUGUAUCUUAUUACGUAUUCAUAAAUUAAGUAAGAUUUAACCUUCUAAAGCAUUAUACGUAUCCAUAAAUUAAGAUUUAACCUUCUAAAGCUGACCAUAUGAUUUAUAAAAUCACGCCUUCCCCAAAACAUGGCCUGGAAUUUGCUUUAAUGUAACAUUUAGCAAAAAGGACCUUAGUGUAAAUAUGGAAAGUGGCUUACUGUGAGCAAAGACCAUGGUAGAGAAGGCAAACCAGUAUAUCAUGCCAAUUUGAUACCAAAGAGGCCCCCUGAAAUCUUCAUUUAUUCGAUGUUCAAGAAUCCAAAUCAAAAACCCAAUGAAAACAAAUGAGCAAAAGCUUGUCAACCACAGUUCCCAAGUCAGUGGCUUCAGAAAUAUCCAUGCAUUUUUCCUCGUACCAUCACUGAUCGGUACAAUCAUUGAAAUACCAGAUUCGAUAUAAGGCAGAGUGAAGUCGACGUACUGUGACCUAUUUCCUACGAUUGUUACAUCUCCAGCCACAGCAUCAUAGUUCUGUUCAUCGAUCAGCAAAAAAAGUUAGUUUAAGCUUUCUAUGUUGAUCAACAUGUGUUUGGAUUUAGAAUUAUAGGAAAAAAGAAGAUACUUACUCCAAGGUACACUUGAUAGGUCAAAUCAUUGUAAUCUCCAGCAAUCUUGUGAUCAGGUGUUCCAAAUGGAAUGUAUUCAUAUGGCACGCCAUAUGGUAGUGCUGCCAUCACCGCAGCAAAAACAUCUAUGCAGUAUCCUUCCACUUUUGUGGAGUUGUCAGAAUUCCAAGUAACACGUACGAAAUUAGUGAGAACAUUAGGUACCCCUACUCUUAAUUUUUUCCCAUUUGUUGGGAUCACCCAACCUUUAGGUGGAGAUGAUUGGUCGCCUGGCCAUAUAGUGGAUCCGAGAUUCGACUUGGAAGUAGAAUAUGUGUUUUUGUCUGCACUUGUGAAGUUCAGUUCUUUGACAAUUCCACUCUCUUUUGUCCAAUAUCCAAUGCCGCUAGCUCGAGGACCAUCUAUAUUGACUAUCUGAUAAGGAGGUGCUUGGAGUUCGCCAUUAACUAAUAGAAAAUUUCCAGCAAGACCUGUAAACGUGAUACUUGAUAAAGCCUGAAUCAGCUCUGGUCCACUUAUUGAUACUCCAAUGGCUUCAAGAUCUGUAGAAUUUCUAGACACGUUGGCCGCUCGAUAUGUAGUAUUUCCUAGUAUUGCCUUUUCUGCUGCCAUGGCUAGUGCAAUUGCCGAGUCAUAAGCCCAUAGCCCGUAAAUGUCCACAUCAAGGGCUCUUGGGUUGCUCUCCAUAAAACUUUUCUUGUAUCGAAUUCUAAACUCAUCCAGCUCCUUUGUCUGUAGAACAUAAGGUUGUACUCCUAUUACCCCUAGCAUUGAAUCUAUGACAGAACGAUUCGUUAAAUGUAAAUCAUUUGUGAUGCUAUCUGUUAUUAUCCAUGCAUAAUCUUUACUCAUCAUUCCUAUUUGUUUUGCUUUGGUAAAGAGGCGAGACGCAAGACUGGUUAGCAUGUGGACGACGAAACUCUACUUUGCAU